GCUGGGCACAGUGGCUCAUGCCUGUAAUCCCAGCGGCUCGGGAGGCUGAGACAGGAGGAUCAUGAGUUCAAAGCUAGCCUCAGCAAUGGCAAAGCACUAAGCAACUCAGUGAGACCCUGUCUCUA
rnacentral:sRNA from 1 species